rnacentral:rRNA from 1 species
UGCCAGCCGCCGCGGUAAUACGGAGGGGGUUAGCGUUGUUCGGAAUUACUGGGCGUGAAGCGCACGUAGGCGGAUUAGAAAGUUAGAGGUGAAAUCCCAGGGCUCAACUGUAGCAUUGCCUUUGAUACUGUUAGACUUGAGUUAUUGUGAAGUAGUUAGAAUGUGUAGUGUAGCGGCGAAAUGCAUAGAUAUUACAUAGAAUACCGAUUGCGAAGGCAGAUUACUAACAAUAUACUGACGCUGAGGGACGAAAGCGUGGGUAGCGAACAGGAUUAGAUA